rnacentral:miRNA from 1 species
AAUCGCGAUUGAGAAGGCGAGC